rnacentral:rRNA from 1 species
GAUGAACGCUGGCGGCGUGCCUAAUACAUGCAAGUCGAGCGAACAGACGAGGAGCUUGCUCCUCUGACGUUAGCGGCGGACGGGUGAGUAACACGUGGAUAACCUACCUAUAAGACUGGGAUAACUUCGGGAAACCGGAGCUACUACCGGAUAAUAUAUUCAACCGCAUGGUUCAAUAGUGAAAGACGGUUUUGCUGUCACUUAUAGAUGGAUCCGCGCCGCAUUAGCUAGUUGGUAAGGUAACGGCUUACCAAGGCAACGAUGCGUAGCCGACCUGAGAGGGUGAUCGGCCACACUGGAACUGAGACACGGUCCAGACUCCUACGGGAGGCAGCAGUAGGGAAUAUUCCGCAAUGGGCGAAAGCCUGACGCAGCAACGCCGCGUGAGUGAUGAAGGUCUUCGGAUUGUAAAACUCUGUUGUUAGGGAAGAACAAAUGUGUAAGUAACUAUGCACGUCUUGACGGUACCUAAUCAGAAAGCCACGGCUAACUACGUG